UGGGGAAUAUUGCGCAAUGGGGGGAACCCUGACGCAGCCAUGCCGCGUGAAUGAAGAAGGCCUUAGAGUUGUAGAGUUCUUUCGGUAUUGAGGAAGGUUGAUGUGUUAAUAGCACAUCAAAUUGACGUUAAAUACAGAAGAAGCACCGGCUAACUCCGUGCCAGCAGCCGCGGUAAUACGGAGGGUGCGAGCGUUAAUCGGAAUAACUGGGCGUAAAGGGCACGCAGGCGGUUAUUUAAGUGAGGUGUGAAAGCCCCGGGCUUAACCUGGGAAUUGCAUUUCAGACUGGGUAACUAGAGUACUUUAGGGAGGGGUAGAAUUCCACGUGUAGCGGUGAAAUGCGUAGAGAUGUGGAGGAAUACCGAAGGCGAAGGCAGCCCCUUGGGAAUGUACUGACGCUCAUGUGCGAAAGCGUGGGGAGCAAACAGGAUUAGAUACCCUGGUAGUCCACGCUGUAAACGCUGUCGAUUUGGGGGUUGGGGUUUAACUCUGGCGCCCGUAGCUAACGUGAUAAAUCGACCGCCUGGGGAGUACGGCCGCAAGGUUA
rnacentral:rRNA from 1 species